UUUUCGUAAGCAACAUAUAUUAGACAUUAUAUAAGUAUAUAAUCCUCUAAAUUUGGAACAUUCAAACAACUUUACACUACAACCAAGAGUUAUAUUAUUCAUGCCUAUGCAUCACUACAACCAAGAGUUACAUUAUUCAUGCCUAUGUAUCACUACAACCAAGAGUUACAUUAUUCAUGCCUAUGUAUCACUAAUUUCACAAACAAAAUUAUUGGAAUUCAUAUAUUUUUAAUAACA
rnacentral:lncRNA from 1 species